UGUGUUGUAAGUGUUUAAGGGCGCAUGGUGGAUGCCUUGGCACUGGGAGCCGAUGAAGGACGUGGGAGA
rnacentral:rRNA from 2 species